GGGUAGCUCAGUUGGUUAGAGCAUGGUGCUGAUAACACCCAAGAUCACAGGUUCGAUCUCCAUAUGGGACAGCUGCA